AAAAAUGUUUUUUAAUAAGUAUAGAAAAACUUUAUAAAUCAUGUUUCCCAUAUCACCGCAAUAUUUUUGUUUUUAAUAAUUACUUUCAAUUUUUAAUCUACAAAAAGUCAUCUUCGAUCUGUCGAUAUGAUGAUAUGAUAUGUCAAAAAAAAGUUCUUGUAGUCUAAUAACUGGUUUCUUUUCUGUAGAACCGGGAACCAGUUGUAACUUAUUAGUUAGUUUCGUAUUUUAUUUCUAUAUUUCCCUUUAUCGCAUUUCUAAAGUAUUAUCAUAUUCGAAGAUAGAUAUUUUAAUUGAGAAACUGUAUUAUUUACGACAAUAAUUUGUAUUAAAGCAGAAUUCUUCAUUAGAUAAAAUUUGUUCCAAACUUCCGGAUACUCUCACCGCCUUUUUUAAAUUGGGAAAACAACGAGACAUGCUAGAAGAGUAGUUCUACAGAAUAGCGUUUAGUCUAAGAGGUCCAGUAUUUGGUGUCACAGGGUGGUCACAGCCCUUCAAACUGUAUAGGAAGGAUGAUGAAAAAGGUGUGGCACUAAUCAGUUAUGGGCCAAAUACAGUCUGAAGGGACAAAAGGGAAAAGAGGCAUUCACAGGUCACCCUUUGUGCAGAAUAAUCAUGAAAAGUUGUGCAAGAGUGUUCCCAAAAUCCAAGGUUGCCGAUAUGGAGGAGGUCUUAAUUCCUAAAACAGGCCCCACACAAGCCAUGAGGACCAAAAUAUAAGAAACCUGUAAGAAAAGGACUGAUGAUAUUGCAAGAAGAAUUAGAGUCUGAACAAAUAAAUCUGUUUAAAAGUACUUGAUUCUACUGAUUUUAGUCCUGUCAAUACUGUUUUUUUUUUUGUUGCAAAGUAUUUAAAGAUGUUUAUAAAACUAUAUUCCAAUUUCUGCAACAAUUAAAGCUUUGGUUAUAAACUAGA